ensembl:lncRNA
GUGUGUGUGUGUGUGUCUCUGUGUAUGUGUGUGUGUGUGUGUUUUACUCUCGCUGGCAGGCGGUGACACCUCUGCUCUGCUCCUGUAAACACGCCGGUGACUGCUGCUCAGUGUCAUGCAGAAAAAGGAAGGACGCAAACAGCUCGCCAUCAACAUCACUUUCAGUUUGUGUUGCGUGUGGGCUGCGUCCCGGACUGCACAACUCAUCUUUAGAAGCCCUAUUCGGCGCUGAAUGUUGGGCACUGGAUGCAACUUAACCAGCGGGGGGAGGGACCCCCAACACGUCAGCACCACACCGACGGGGAAGGGUGG